rnacentral:rRNA from 1 species
AAAACAUGUCUAUAUGGGAGAUAUAUAAAGUCUAGCCUGCCCAUUGGGUUUUUCUAAAAGGCCGCGGUAUUAUGACCGUGCAAAGGUAGCAUAAUCAUUAGUCUUUUAAUUGGGGGCUUGUAUGAAUGGUUGGACGAGAAGUAAGCUGUCUCUAAUUAAUGAAUUGAAUUUAACUUUUAAGUGAAAAGGCUUAAAUGAUCUGGAGGGACGAUAAGACCCUAUAAAGCUUUACAUUGGAUUUAUUGAAAAGUAAUUUAAAUAAUAAAAGUUUAUUAGUAGGGAGAUGUUUUGUUGGGGUGACAAGAAUAUAAUAAAUAUAACUGUUCUUUUUUAGUUCAAAAAUAUUUGAAUAGGAGAUCCUUUAUAGAGAUGUUAGAGUAAGUUACUUUAGGGAUAACAGCGUAAUUUUUUUUGAGAGUUCUUAUCGACAAAAAAGUUUGCGACCUCGAUGUUGAAUUAAAGAUUCUUUAUAGUGUAGAAGUUAUAAAAGAAGGUCUGUUCGACCUUUAAAUCUUUACAUGAU